AUGAACGCUGGCGGCGUGCCUAAUACAUGCCAGUCGCGCGAACAGACGAGGAGCUUGCUCCUCUGACGUUAGCGGCGGACGGGUGAGUAACACGUGGAUAACCUACCUAUAAGACUGGGAUAACUUCGGGAAACCGGAGCUAAUACCGGAUAAUAUAUUGAACCGCAUGGUUCAAUAGUGAAAGACGGUUUUGCUGUCACUUAUAGAUGGAUCCGCGCCGCAUUAGCUAGUUGGUAAGGUAACGGCUUACCAAGGCAACGAUGCGUAGCCGACCUGAGAGGGUGAUCGGCCACACUGGAACUGAGACACGGUCCAGACUCCUACGGGAGGCAGCAGUAGGGAAUCUUCCGCAAUGGGCGAAAGCCUGACGGAGCAACGCCGCGUGAGUGAUGAAGGUCUUCGGAUCGUAAAACUCUGUUAUUAGGGAAGAACAAGUGUGUAAGUAACUAUGCACGUCUUGACGGUACCUAAUCAGAAAGCCACGGCUAACUACGUG
rnacentral:rRNA from 1 species